UGGAAUGCCAGGGGUGAAAUCUCUUGUGCCCAAAGCCCAGGCACCAGAAAUGCAGGAGAGUGCUCAGCACUGGCACUACAUGGGAAGAGCAUUCCACUAUGCUUCUCACCAGAAAAGGAGUUUUGAUGACUUCACAUUUAUGGCCUUUAAUUUGUGAUCCAGAGCUGCACCACAUCUCAAGAUGAAGCCACACAGCAGUGUUCGGGAGCAGUGCUGCCAGCUGGGGAGCACGGAUCCCACAGCAUCCAGGAAAAUAAAUUCCUGAGAAACGUGGCACCAGAAUGGGUUCCUCACUUUGGAAGCACACAAGGCAGGAGAAGAGCAGAGCAAUCGCUUUAAAUAUUGAGUACUGUGCACCUGGUAAAAGAAAUAAUAAAACAUAAUCUCUUCU